CAGAGGGCACACAGGGGCACUGCACCAACAGCAGGGCAUAAAGGGGGCUGAAGGACACAGGAGCAGACAUUUGCAGCCUCCUGAAGUGCUCUGGUGUUACUGUGUGUGGGCAGAUGCCUGAAGCCCUCUGAUGAGGCUUACCCUGAGUUUGUCCUGACCUACCUAGAGGAGCUAAAUGAAAGAGAGGAGGUGACCCAGACAGAAAACCACAUUCACCAUGGGGCCUGGGCUGCAGCUCAUCAGGAGACAGACAGCAGCUCAGCAGAAGAGGUCACAGCACUAAGCCAGAGGCAGGUUCUGGGAAAAAAAACCCCAAAAAAUGUCAUCAACCCCAAUCAGAAACAACUUUCAGGACCUUUGGACGCCCAUUUAAUGCCUGCAGAUCCCCUGGGGCAGACUGCACAGCUGACAGUGGCACUGGUGAGGAAACUAGAGGAGAAACAUCCUAAGGCCCCAGCUCAAAGGAACUCCUCAAGAAAAAGAGCUGAAAAACCUUAUGGAGACAUCAUCAGGCGGACCUGGUGGACCUUUAUGGUGCUGAAAGCUCAUCAGUUUUCUUAGUAAUGACUACAAAAAAACCACAGAUGUGGAGGAAAAUGAAAUCUCACCUACGUUUUUACUUUGGUGAAAUUAUAUUUGCUACAGCACAAAUAUAAAAUCGGUGUAAGGAGGCAAGUUUAAUGCUGCUCAGGUUUUUUUUCCAUCCCUGUGUAGCUCCCCAAUAUAUCUAUACAGUCAACUUAGGUUCAGACAUUUGUGCCUGCUGUUCUCAGUGAUGUCAAAAUACUCUAAAAUGACAUUUUGGGUUCUAGUGGUUGUUUAGUGAAUGUCAUAACAAGAAUGUGGCUAAAUACAAUGGAAGCAUAACAGCAAAACAGAUUAUUUCUACAUAAACAGCUGGUUAUUGACAUAUCUGGCAUGGCAAGCAGUUACUGAUAUAAUUCUAACAGCAAUUGCAGGUUGUUUCAUUUCAGUCCGUGUCUGACUUUACUGGUGUAACUGCCCAAGUGAAAAAAAACCCUGCUAAACCACCAGGGCUGGUCACUGAAUAGAUUUUCCUACUGCUACAGAAGGAAAUAUUGUACAGAAAAAAGCUUUGUCAUGUACCUUGUGCAGUUUUUAUUCUGCUACUUAACUUGAAUAUGGUUUCCAGGCUGUAGAUCAUCUGCAACUUACAUGCACAGAGAGAGAAAAGUUAUUUGCCACCAGGCAAUUCUUCUCAAAUAUAAAUUCCAACUCUGUAUUGAUUU